rnacentral:lncRNA from 1 species
UGGCUGCUGCAGACUGCUCCCCCCCCUCCCCGGGGCAGGCCCCCACUGCAGCCGCCUUUCCUCGUCACUCACCUGGGCUGACACCCCAGCCCCAGGACAGGACACACCUACAUUCCACUGAGCCACCUGAUAACAGAAGGGGUGCUGGGCGAGAGGAGACAGGAAGUGCUCAGCGCAGGGGGAGUCGGGCGUGGGUCUUGAAAGGUACAGGAAGGGGCCGAGGAGCGGAGCCGACCAGGAAGGUCUGCUGGCUUCCUGUGCAGCAUGUAACUGUGGACGUCAGCGUGGAGGAGGCCAGAGCGUGGAGCCUGGGCCCCAGCUGGGUGGGGAGCCCCGAGGCCGUUGAGCAAGGGGGGGUGACAUGGCCAAUGUGAGUCUUAGAAAGAUCACCCCACAGACCCGGAGAGCGCACGCUGUAUGGGGCUGCACCCGAGUCCAUCUUUCAGGGCAGAUUUCCGCAAGCGAGUAACGACUCUUGACCAUCUACGGCCGCGGAUGGAGCCCUGCCAGCUUGACGCUCUACUGGCCCAGGGCCUCCCUCUGGCCCUCCCCCUGCCUCUUCUGUCACCGGAACCUGACGCCCCUCCCGGGAGACCUUGCGGGACCCCCAGAACGUGCCAGGGACUCCUGAGCCCCGAGGGGGCGUCGGCCGGCCUCAGGACCCUCGCAAGAUCGCACCCACAGGUCCCAGACCAACCCCCGCUCCCACUCGGUCCUCUGUCCUCCAACCUCCUAAACCCCAGUCUGCUGGAGGCAAUCCCUCCUCACCUGCCCCCGCCGUGCCCUCUUUCUGCUCCCCCACCCCCCUCCGUCCUGGCUGGCUGCCAAGAGACAUCUGACAGGAUCCUCCCCUGCUUUAAAGCCUGCAGCAGCUCCCCAGGGCCCACAGAUCCCACUCCAGCUCCGGGGGCGCCCCUGCCCCACCCGCCCCACCCCACCUCUGCUCAGCUAUCUGCAGAUCCCCCUCCAGCGUCCCCCUCCCCGUCCCCUGCUGGAACUCAAGCACGGCCUCUUCUGCAAAGCCUGUCCUGCGGCUGCGCCUCCUCUGUAUCCCUGGCAGGCUCCCCCUCCAGCCCCACACCUCCUCCCUGCCCUGGGACAGGAGGUUGCAGCUGCCCCUGGCUCGGGCUGCGUCUGAAUCACUGGGAAGCCCUCUGGCCUCCCCAGGGCCUGCAGCAUCACCGCACCCCGUGCCUGAGCCCAGGUCAGAGAAGAGCCCUCACCAAGGGUCCACAGAAUGCAACCCUUGGCCAGGGCCUGGGCCCUAGCUGGGGCACAGCAUCCCAGAGAGGUUUAACGACUGGCUGA